rnacentral:rRNA from 1 species
GUGGGGAAUAUUGGACAAUGGGGGGAACCCUGAUCCAGCGAUGCCGCGUGUGUGAAGAAGGCCUGCGGGUUGUAAAGCACUUUCAGUGGGAAAGAGAAGCGUCUUGUGAAUAAUGGGACGUGGAGACGUUACUCACAGAAGAAGCACCGGCUAACUCUGUGCCAGCAGCCGCGGUAAUACAGAGGGUGCGAGCGUUAAUCGGAGUAACUGGGCGUAAAGGGCACGUAGGCGGUUAUAUUAGUCUGAUGUGAAAGACCUGGGCUUAACCUGGGAUGUGCAUUGGAAACGGUAUAGCUAGAGUUUGGGAGAGGGAAGUGGAAUUUCCGGUGUAGCGGUGAAAUGCGUAGAGAUCGGAAAGAACACUCGUGGCGAAGGCGGCUUUCUGGCCCAAAACUGACGCUGAGGUGCGAAAGCGUGGGGAGCAAACAGGAUUAGAAACCCCAGUAGUCC